rnacentral:rRNA from 1 species
AUUGAACGCUGGCGGCAGGCCUAACACAUGCAAGUCGAGCGGAUGAAGGGAGCUUGCUCCUGGAUUCAGCGGCGGACGGGUGAGUAAUGCCUAGGAAUCUGCCUGGUAGUGGGGGAUAACGUCCGGAGACGGGCGCUAAUACCGCAUACGUCCUGAGGGAGAAAGUGGGGGAUCUUCGGACCUCACGCUAUCAGAUGAGCCUAGGUCGGAUUAGCUAGUUGGUGGGGUAAAGGCCUACCAAGGCGACGAUCCGUAACUGGUCUGCGAGGAUGAUCAGUCACACUGGAACUGAGACACGGUCCAGACUCCUACGGGAGGCAGCAGUGGGGAAUAUUGGACAAUGGGCGAAAGCCUGAUCCAGCCAUGCCGCGUGUGUGAAGAAGGUCUUCGGAUUGUAAAGCACUUUAAGUUGGGAGGAAGGGCAGUAAGUUAAUACCUUGCUGUUUUGACGUUACCAACAGAAUAAGCACCGGCUAACUUCGUG